rnacentral:lncRNA from 1 species
UCUCUUGAUGGGGAUUUAGGCUACAGCACUGGGAAAAUAAUCAUGGGACUGGAUUUCAGGGCCCUGGCCACCUCAGCUCUUCAGGAAUGAAAAGCAUAAUGUUUUCCAUGGUGAUGCUGUGUCUCUACCUCCUCCCUCUGAACCUUGUGAGAGCCACGAACUAGGCUGGACUUUGGUGUCUGCCCUUCAGAUGAUUGGUGCCAUAAGAGGGCCACAAGCGGCACUAUUUCCAAGACAUGGAAACAACCUAAAUGUUCAUUGACAGAUGAGUGGAUGAAGAAGAUGUGGUACAUAUACACAAUGGAAUACUACUCAGCCAUAAAAAAGAACAAAAUAAGGCCAUUUGUAGCAACAUAGAUGGAACUGGAGAGUCUUAUACCAAAUGAAGCUUUUUAAUGUCAGCUCCAAAACUCGAAGCGUACAUAUCAGGAGCUUGGAAGAAAAGCCUGGAGAAAGAGUGGAGCACUCUUUUUAAUACCUGAUGCAGAUUACAUCUUCUGAUGCCCCCCAAGGUGCUAUUACAGAGGACAACAUGGACAUCAACACCUCUGAUUCAGAAAAAUUGAUCUCUGAAUGCUAUUAUGAAUAAUUGUGCCAUGUACAUGGGUGUUUGGAUAUCUUUGAGACCACACUUUCAGUUCUUUUGGGUAUAUGCCCAGAAGUAGAAUUGUUGGAUCAUAUGGCCAUUAAAAUAAAAACUAUUCAAGAAGUCAGCUGCUGCUAUAAAGGUCAUCUGGAAAGUCCAGGGAAGGACCCUGAGCUGCUGCUGGGAAAGAGAAAUUGUCCUCUGGCUCGUGAGCUGUCAUGUUUGUCUGCUGAGUGGCUUCAGUGGUUUCAUCUGUUGCUGAAAGAGCCAAGAGAGAGGGAUAAAACGGGACUAUAAUCCAUACCACAAUGAGCGGGACGGGACCAGCAGCCCAGAAGAAGCAAAAGGAAUCUUAAUGAAUUGGAGACAAUUGGAGAUGGUUUAUAAGGAUGAAGUUCAAAGGUUUUUCUUUAGAAGCCAUUGAGUUGGUAGUCUAGGAGAGCACCUUGUAGUGGUAUUUGCAUAAGGAGAAAGAUGUCAAAUAUUCAAAGAUGCCUUUACUCAAAGAGCCAGUGGCACUUAAGUGGCCAAAUAGCUUAUAAGCACUUAUUAAGAUGAAUGGAUAAAGAAGAUGUGGUAUAGAUACACAAUAGAAUAUUACUCAGCCAUUAAAAGGGAAUAAACUAUUGCCAUCUGCAACAACAUGGAUCGAACCGGAGGGUAUUAUGAUAAGUGAAGUAAGUCAAAGACAAAUAUUGUAUGUUUUCACCUAUAUGUGUAAUCAAGAAAAAUAAAUGAACAAAUAUAGCAAAACAGAAAUAGACUCAUAGAUAGAACAUACUAGUGGUUUUCAAUAUUAAAAAAAUAUUGAAUCACUAUAUUGUAUAUGUGAAACUAAUAUGAUAUUGUAAGUUAAAUAGACUUCAAUUUUUAAAAAAAGUAAUUUUAAAAAACAAUAGAGGAGUUUCCACUGUGUGACUUCCAUGGCUCUGGUCACUGUGGAGGUGCAGGUUUGAUCCCCAGCCCAGUGCAGUGGGUUAAAGGAUUUGGCAUUGCCACUGCUGCAACUCGGAUUUAGUCCUUGGCCCAGGAACUUCCAUAGGCCGUGGGUGCAGCCAUUGGAAAAAAAAAAAAA